AAUAACGGUGCCCGUACCGCAAACCGACACAGGUAGUCAAGAUGAGAAUUCUAAGGUGAGCGAGCGAACUCUCGUUAAGGAACUCGGCAAAAUGACCCCGUAACUUCGGGAGAAGGGGUGCUCUUUGAGGUUCACGCUUCGAAGAGCCGCAGUGAAUAGGCCCAAGCGACUGUUUAUCAAAAACACAGGUCUCUGCUAAACCGUAAGGUGACGUAUAGGGGCUGACGCCUGCCCGGUGCUGGAAGGUUAAGAGGAGUGGUUAGCGCA
rnacentral:rRNA from 1 species